GGGGCUGUGACUCAGUGGUAGAGCACUCGCCUAGCAUGUGCGAGGCACUGAGUUUGAUCCUCAGCACCACA
rnacentral:tRNA from 1 species